rnacentral:rRNA from 1 species
GACGAACGCUGGCGGCGUGCCUAAUACAUGCAAGUAGAACGCUGAAGGAGGAGCUUUCUUCUUUUGAUGAUUUGCGCACGCGUGAGUAACGCGUAGGUAACCUCCCUGUUAGCGGGGGAUAACUAUUGGAAACGAUAGCUCAUACCCCGUAAGAUUAGAUGUUGCAUGACAUUUACUUAUAAGAUGCAAUUGCAUCACUACUUGAUGUACCUGCGUUGGCUUAGCUGUUUGGUGGGGUAACGGCUCACUAACGCGACGAUAGAUAGUCGCCCUCGUAGGGUGAUAGGCCACACUGGGACUGAGACACGGCCCAGACUCCCACGGGAAGAAGCAGGAGGGAAUUUUCGGCAAUGGACGGAAGUCUGACCGAGCAACGCCGCGGGAGGGAAGAAGGUUUUCGGAUCGUAAAGAUCUGUUGUAAGAGAAGAACGAGUGUGAGAGUGGAAAGUUCACACUGUGACGGUACCUUACCAGAAAGGGACGGCUAACUACGUG